rnacentral:rRNA from 1 species
UACGUAGGUGGCAAGCGUUGUCCGGAUUUACUGGGCGUAAAGAGCGCGCAGGCGGUCGAAUACGUCGGAUGUGAAAGCCCCCGGCUCAACUGGGGAGGGUCAUUCGAUACUGUUCGACUUGAAGGCAGGAGAGGGAAGCAGAAUUCCCGGUGUAGUGGUGAAAUGCGUAGAUAUCAGGAGGAAUACCGGUGGCGAAGGCGGCUUCCUGGCCUGUUAUUGACGCUGAGGAGCGAAAGCUGGGGGAGCAAACGGG